CCUACGGGAGGCAGCAGUAAGGGAUAUUGGUCAAUGGGGGAAACCCUGAACCAGCAACGCCGCGUGAGGGAAGACGGUGUGCGGAGGGUAAACCUCUGUCAGCGGGGAAGAGGAGGACGGUAGCAGAGGAGGAAGCUCCGGCGAACUACGUGCCAGCAGCCGCGGUAAUACGUAGGGAGCGAGCGUUGUCCGGAUUUACUGGGUGUAAAGGGUGCGUAGGCGGCUUGGCAAGUCAGUAGUGAAAUCCAUGGGCUUAACCCAUGAACUGCUAUUGAAACUGUCGAGCUUGAGUGAAGUAGAGGUAGGCGGAAUUCCCGGUGUAGCGGUGAAAUGCGUAGAGAUCGGGAGGAACACCAGUGGCGAAGGCGGCCUACUGUGCUUUACCUGACGCUGUGGCCCGCACGCGUGGGUAGCAAACAGGAUUAGAUACCCCGGUAGUC
rnacentral:rRNA from 1 species